UACGAAGGGGGCUAGCGUUGCUCGGAAUUACUGGGCGUAAAGCGCACGUAGGCGGCUCUUUAAGUCGGGGGUGAAAUCCUGGAGCUCAACUCCAGAACUGCCUUCGAUACUGAAGAGCUUGAGUCCGGGAGAGGUGAGUGGAACUGCGAGUGUAGAGGUGAAAUUCGUAGAUAUUCGCAAGAACACCAGUGGCGAAGGCGGCUCACUGGCCCGGAUACUGACCGCUGAGGCACGAAAGCGUGGGGAGCAAACAGGG
rnacentral:rRNA from 1 species